UACGGAGGUGCGAGCGUUGUCGGAAUCACUGGGCGUAAAGGGCGCGUAGGUGGCUCGUGAAGCGUGCGGUGAAAGUCCGAGGCUCGAACCUCGGAUCGGCCGUGCGGACUCGCGGGCUCGAGCGUUGUAGGAGGCGGGUGGAAUCCGGGUGUAGCGGUGGAAUGCGUAGAGAUCCGGAAGAACACCGGUGGCGAAGGCGGCCCGGCUGGGCGAACUGCUGACACUGAUGCGCGACAGCGGUGGGGAGCAAACAGG
rnacentral:rRNA from 1 species